rnacentral:rRNA from 1 species
GAUGAACGCUGGCGGCGUGCCUAAUACAUGCAAGUCGAGCGAACAGACGAGGAGCUUGCUCCUCUGACGUUAGCGGCGGACGGGUGAGUAACACGUGGAUAACCUACCUAUAAGACUGGGAUAACUUCGGGAAACCGGAGCUAAUACCGGAUAAUAUAUUGAACCGCAUGGUUCAAUAGUGAAAGACGGUUUUGCUGUCACUUAUAGAUGGAUCCGCGCCGCAUUAGCUAGUUGGUAAGGUAACGGCUUACCAAGGCAACGAUGCGUAGCCGACCUGAGAGGGUGAUCGGCCACACUGGAACGGAGACACGGUCCAGCCUCCUACGGGAGGCAGCAGUAGGGAAUCUUCCGCAAUGGGCGAAAGCCUGACGGAGCAACGCCGCGUGAGUGAUGAAGGUCUUCGGAUCGUAAAACUCUGUUAUUAGGGAAGAACAAAUGUGUAAGUAACUAUGCAUGUCUUGACGGUACCUAAUCAGAAAGCCACGGCUAACUACGUG